rnacentral:misc_RNA from 1 species
GAUGAAGAACGUAGCGAAAUGCGAUAAGUAAUGUGAAUUGCAGAAUUCAGUGAAUCAUCGAAUCUUUGAACGCACAUUGCGCCCGCUAGUAUUCUGGCGGGCAUGCCUGUCCGAGCGUCAUUUCAACCCUCAAGCCCCCGGGCUUGGUGUUGGGGAUCGGCGAGCCUCCGCGCCCGCCGUCCCCUAAAUCUAGUGACGGUCUCGCUGUAGCUUCCUCUGCGUAGUAGCACACCUCGCACUGGGAAACAGCGCGGCCACGCCGUUAAACCCCCAACUUCUGAACGUUUGACCUCGGAUCAGGUAGGAAUACCCGCUGAACUUAAGCAUAUCAAUAAGCGGAGGA